rnacentral:tRNA from 1 species
GCGCCCGUAGCUCAGCGGAUUAGAGUGGCAGACUCCGGAUCUGCAGGUCGGGGGUUCAAAUCCCCCCGGGCGCA